AAGCUCAAAUUUAUUAUGGCUGUGUAUGUUCACUCUAGGGUGGUUGCGACAGGACUUGGCUGUGAAGGCCUGAAGAUCCUUGUAGAAGCGCUGAAAGAAAAUCGUACUGUGACUGAUCUCAGAAUGGCCAUAAAUAAAAUUGGAGAUGUUGGAGCUGGUCACCUUGCAGAAUUGUUGAGGACGAAUCGCACACUGACGGAUAUCAGGUAAAAGAGACGUAUCUCCAUCAUUUCAAUCUCUUGAAUAAUUUAUUUAUCUGAAAAGUUCACUGAGUUGAAACAUUCUGCAUCCUAUAGGCUUCGUGACAACCUAGUGACAGACAAAGGAGCAGAAGUCCUCAUGGCUGCCCUGAAAGAGAACACUACAUUAGAGUAUCUGUGGUAAGAAACAUUUAGAGCUGAUUUACUAUAGUCUAUUUCCUCAUGAUUCUGUAACACAAAUAUAUUUUCUGUUCAUCGCAGGUUGUUUGACAACAAGUUUACCAAAGAUGGCGUCAAGAAACUCAAAGAAUUUGCAAAGACCAGACCAGACCUUGACAUUAAAGCUUGCGUCUGACCCACAACCAUUAAACCAGUGGAGUAGCAACUGGUUCAUGACAAACAUUUUCAUUCAUACAUUCUAUUCAUACAUUAUUUUACAUAUGGUACAAUUACUCUGAUAUAUUACUUUUAAUACAUAUUAGACUGUUAAAUGAAUAGUUUACCUAAAAAUGAAAAAUUGCUGAAAAUGUACUCACCCUCAGGCCAUCCAAGAUGUAGCUUGUUUCUUCAUUUGAACAGAUUUGGAGAAAUGUAGCAUUACAUUAUUUGCUCACCAACAGAUCCUCUGCAGUGAAUGGGUGCCGUCAGAAUGUGGUAAAGAAAGUGAUAAAAACAUCACAAUAAUCCACAAGUAUUCCAAACAACUCCAAUCCAUCAAUUAACAUCUUCUGAAGCAAAAAGCAGCAUGCUUGUAAGAAACAAGCAUUUUCACUAUAAACAAUUAUUCCUUUAACUACUCAGGCUACUACUGCCCUCAGCUGGACGUUUAAGGAGCUGUUAUUUGUAUGCUAUAUGUGUACAUUAAUAAGCAGCAAUAUUUUCAGACCUAUUUUAGGAUUUAUAGACAGUUUUUUAAAGUUUUUAAACACUGAAUUGCAUUAAUUUAUUUUGUGCAAUAUCGUUUUUAUGAUCAAAUCUUUUACAGCUUUUAGCUAACACCCACACAAUCAGAUUUGACUUCAGAUUUAAGUAUAUGAUAGACUUUGAGGGACCUAAAAUGCCUUCACAACACCCAUCUGUUUUUCUCGUACUUCUUUAUAAAUGAUUGUCUUCUUUCUCUUCUCUGCUAUAGUGUCUCAAACCAGUUCGACGUUUAUUGCCCAUUUUUGUGGGUGCUUUUACAUGCAGAGCUCAGGGCUCCUCUUAGAUGCUUCAUAAACAGAAGUAAAAAUGUAAGUGUAAAAUACACAAAGCCAGAGUAUUCUUUGGUUAGUAAAUGCAUUUAUUUUAAAGAUACUAUGUGAAACCGUUACUAAAAUCACAGUAAUGUAUGUUAGAAGCAAUUUAAAUCGUACAUACUGGUGGAGAUUUCUAAAACCCAACUAGAUAGAUAGAUAGAGAGAUAGAUAGAUAGAUAGAUAGAUAGAUAGAUAGAUAGAUAGAUAGAUAGAUAGAUAGAUAGAUAGAUAGAUGAGCUUGACUACUUUUUGUGAAAACUUCUGAACACGGUUUUCAUUUUUUACUGUUAUCCAUGUCAGAUAAUUUUUUGAAACAUUGCACACCUGUCUUCUUUCUGAAAGUUGCAUAAUAGAGGUUAAUGCAUCAUUAAUUGUCAUAACAUCUUGAAAUAUGAAUCGUUAUAUCAAAGUAUGAUUGCUUAGCAAGGCUUACAAUGCAAAGUACAAGUGUUGUUAUGCAAUCAUUAAAACAAGAUGUACAAAUAGAUGUUCAAUAAACAUUAUAUGUAUUCUCCAGAUUCCAGUUUGCUUUAGUAAUGGAGUCUGUGGUUUGUCUUCACUUCAAAGUUCAAACCGUGUUGCUUCAGGACAGGAGUAAUUCCAUAUAUUGAUGACUGCUGCCUUGAAAGCAAAAUCUUACCUUACAUGUACAUUCUCACGUCUGUUGUGAUAAGUCUCAAGCAUUGCAUAAGUGUAUCGAUGUGGAGGGGGAAAGAGUUUCCACACCGGAGUAAUAUUUAACGUCAUGAGUCCCUCAUGAAAAGCCCGCUUGUGUCUGUAUUUUAAUGUAGUUGCCCAUUUAAACCACCAGAUGCCGACGUGAUGUUUUGUGACUCAUAUCACCUCUUUGUUCAGUUUAGUUCUUAGAAAGAGUACAAGAAACAAUAAAAAGUCACUUGUUCAGUUCCCCU
rnacentral:lncRNA from 1 species